GGCUACCAUGCAAGUCGAGGGGCAGCAUGGUCUUAGCUUGCUAAGGCUGAUGGCGACCGGCGCACGGGUGAGUAACACGUAUCCAACCUGCCGUCUACUCUUGGCCAGCCUUCUGAAAGGAAGAUUAAUCCAGGAUGGCAUCAUGAGUUCACAUGUCCGCAUGAUUAAAGGUAUUUUCCGGUAGACGAUGGGGAUGCGUUCCAUUAGAUAGUAGGCGGGGUAACGGCCCACCUAGUCAACGAUGGAUAGGGGUUCUGAGAGGAAGGUCCCCCACAUUGGAACUGAGACACGGUCCAAACUCCUACGGGAGGCAGCAGUGAGGAAUAUUGGUCAAUGGGCGAUGGCCUGAACCAGCCAAGUAGCGUGAAGGAUGACUGCCCUAUGGGUUGUAAACUUCUUUUAUAAAGGAAUAAAGUCGGGUAUGCAUACCCGUUUGCAUGUACUUUAUGAAUAAGGAUCGGCUAACUCCGUGCCAGCAGCCGCGGUAAUACGGAGGAUCCGAGCGUUAUCCGGAUUUAUUGGGUUUAAAGGGAGCGUAGAUGGAUGUUUAAGUCAGUUGUGAAAGUUUGCGGCUCAACCGUAAAAUUGCAGUUGAUACUGGAUGUCUUGAGUGCAGUUGAGGCAGGCGGAAUUCGUGGUGUAGCGGUGAAAUGCUUAGAUAUCACGAAGAACUCCGAUUGCGAAGGCAGCCUGCUAAGCUGCAACUGACAUUGAGGCUCGAAAGUGUGGGUAUCAAACAGGAUUAGAUACCCUGGUAGUCCACACGGUAAACGAUGAAUACUCGCUGUUUGCGAUAUACGGCAAGCGGCCAAGCGAAAGCGUUAAGUAUUCCACCUGGGGAGUACGCCGGCAACGGUGAAACUCAAAGGAAUUGACGGGGGCCCGCACAAGCGGAGGAACAUGUGGUUUAAUUCGAUGAUACGCGAGGAA
rnacentral:rRNA from 1 species